AUUUAUCCCUUUUUCACUGGCGGGGACUUUCCAAGGCAGAUGCUUCCUCGGCACUUCAACUGUUUGAAAGCUGCAGCGGAUCUAAAUUUCACAGACUGAUUAACACGUCUCCGGUGGGGCAUGCAGCUGUCGUGGGGUCCUCGUGUUAUCAGCAGCAGAGUUGUAACCAAGCGUUUUUGUUACCUGGGGUCUUCAGAUACAGGAUCCGUCUGGCUAUGUGGAGAAAAGGAGAGAAGUGGUACUGAGAUGCCUGAUUGAGUACAUAUGGGAGGGAAAGGAAGACCUCAUCAGUGUCCACCAUAGUCAUGAUGAAACAGAGGUGCACGCUGAGCUUGGCAGUUCCCCACUGAAAAUAUACAUGCGCCAUCAGCCAAACACUAUUGGGAUUAUCACAGUAGAAGGACAGCCCAUGGUCAGAGGUGUGCCAAACCUGUAGAAAACCUCCUGUUUGGACUUGUCUAUGCCCACAACCUCUAAUAUCACUCAAAUCUGUAUACUUCUGAGAUAUAUCAGAGGCUCUUUGUGGGAUUGGACCUUAUGCAUACUUUUGUAUGUUUUGUAGGCACUGUUAAAAGUGACACUAGUUGACAUUGAAUAAAUGUUAUUGUCUUUAAUCUGUCUUCCCAUCUUUUUCUUCUUCAAUUGAAUUUGUAAUUGUUAUUGACAAAGUCUGUUUAUGUAAAGUGAUUUACUGUACUGCUUAGAAUCUAGACAUUUAGAUGUAUUUUCUGAGGUAAUAGCCAGGACUUAAUUAAAAUGUUUAUUCACAUUUGAUUAGGUUAAAUUUACUAUGAGCAUAAAGUUCAUAAAACCUAACUAAAAUGAGUACAGGUUACUUGUAGCAACACAUAAAUACGUUACAUAUACCAAGAAAAUUAGGUUUAUCUAACUGACUAAUAUAGCACUUAUUAGUUAACUCAACUUGAUUUUGUUGUGUUUGAAUUAAG